rnacentral:hammerhead_ribozyme from 1 species
UGCCGAAACGCACAUUGUGCGUCUUUCAGAGGUGGCCUCCUGAGACUGAUGAUGGCGGGCUUGG